UCCUUUUGGUGCACGGUGUUUUUUAUGCAGUCUAAGAUAAAAAUGCAUAAAAAACACCAUGCACCAAAAGGA